rnacentral:rRNA from 1 species
UACGGAGGGGGCUAGCGUUGUUCGGAAUUACUGGGCGUAAAGCGCGCGUAGGCGGCUUUGUAAGUUAGAGGUGAAAGCCCGGAGCUCAACUCCGGAAUUGCCUUUAAGACUGCAUCGCUAGAAUCAUGGAGAGGUGAGUGGAAUUCCCAGUGUAGAGGUGGAAUUCGUAGAUAUUGGGAAGAACACCGGUGGCGAAGGCGGCGAGCUGGUCCGUUACUGACGCUGAGGCGCGACAGCGUGGGGAGCAAACAGG